AUGAUGGUAGUUGUACCAUCAUCAUCAUCACAUUAACUACCAUCAUCACGAUGGUAGUUAAUGUGAUGAUGAUGGUACAACUACCAUGUA